AUUGAACGCUGGCGGCAUGCCUUACACAUGCAAGUCGAACGGUAACAGGUCUUCGGAUGCUGACGAGUGGCGAACGGGUGAGUAAUACAUCGGAACGUGCCCGAUCGUGGGGGAUAACGAAGCGAAAGCUUUGCUAAUACCGCAUACGAUCUACGGAUGAAAGCAGGGGACCGCAAGGCCUUGCGCGAACGGAGCGGCCGAUGGCAGAUUAGGUAGUUGGUGGGAUAAAAGCUUACCAAGCCGACGAUCUGUAGCUGGUCUGAGAGGACGACCAGCCACACUGGGACUGAGACACGGCCCAGACUGCUGCGGGGGGCAGGAGUGGGGAAUUUUGGGCGAUGGGCGAAAGCCUGAUCCAGCCAUGCCGCGUGCAGGAGUAGGGCCUUCAGGUUGUAAACUGCUUUUGUACGGAACGAAAAGACUCUGGUUAAUACCUGGGGUCCAUGACGGUACCGUAAGAAUACGCAGCGGCUAACUACGUGCCAGCGGCCGCCGUAAAAC
rnacentral:rRNA from 1 species